GUGGGGAAUAUUGGGCAAUGGGGGCAACCCUGACCCAGCGACGCCGCGUGAGGGAAGAAGGCCUUAGGGUCGUAAACCUCUGUUGUGUGGGAAGAAGGAAGUGACGGUACCACACGAGGAAGUCCCGGCUAACUACGUGCCAGCAGCCGCGGUAAUACGUAGGGGACGAGCGUUGUCCGGACUUACUGGGCGUAAAGGGCGCGUAGGCGGUCAUUUAAGUCAGCGGUGAAAUGGUCCGGCUCAACCGGAUCAUGCGGUUGAAACUGGAUGACUGGAGUGCUGGAGAGGCAAGUGGAAUUCCCAGUGUAGCGGUGAAAUGCGUAGAUAUUAGGAAGAACACCAGUGGCGAAGGCGACUUUCUGGACGAAAACUGACGCUGAGGCGCGAAAGCCAGGGGAGCGAACGGGAUUAGAAACCCGGGUAGUCC
rnacentral:rRNA from 1 species